UCCAUUUGCAUUGCUAUAAAGGAAUACCUAAGACUGGGUAAUUUACAAAGAAAAAAGGUUUAUUUUGUCUGAUAUAUGAUGCACCCACAUAUAAAUGGAAAUGGCAUGCACAAAGACACUUUACUAUUGGAACUGUAUUGGAAAAUUUAUGAAAUUUUAGGUAAAAUUGCACCUAAAAUUGUGUUAUUAGUGACUGUAAGUAGCAAUGCUAAAUUUAUUGUACUUGAUGAAUGAAUGUAUUUAGGCUAGUCAUGGUUAGGACUGCAGCGGUUAUUGGCAAUGUGUGAUUUGUGUUUUCUUACUUUAUAGAAUUAUCUAAUGUGAUAUGCUGAUUUUUACAGGUAAUAUUUAGAUAUUUCCAAUAAUUGUAUAUUUGACAACCUACUAAAAUGAUUUGCUUUGGGAAAAAACUGAAAAACAAUACUCAAAGUAACAAUUGUAAAUAUAUAUACACCUAAUACUAGAUCAUCUAAAUGUAUAAAGAAAGUAUUAAUAGACCUAAAAAGAAACAGACUGCAAUACAGUAAUAGCAGGGUUUUUCAACACUUCACUUUCAACAAUGAACAUGUCAUCUAGACAGAAAUCAAUAAGGAAACACUGGACUUGAAACGCACAUUAG
rnacentral:lncRNA from 1 species